UACGGAGGGUGCAAGCGUUAUCCGGAUUCACUGGGUUUAAAGGGUGCGUAGGUGGGAAUGUAAGUCAGUGGUGAAAUCUCCGUGCUUAACAUGGAAACUGCCAUUGAUACUAUGUUUCUUGAAUUUUCUGGAGGUAAGCGGAAUAUGUCAUGUAGCGGUGAAAUGCUUAGAUAUGACAUAGAACACCAAUUGCGAAGGCAGCUUGCUACAGGGAUAUUGACACUGAGGCACGAAAGCGUGGGGAGCAAACGGG
rnacentral:rRNA from 1 species